rnacentral:tRNA from 1 species
GCGAGAGAAGCCUAUUGGGAUGGGCACCUGUCCGCCAGACAGGAGGCAGCGGGUUCGAGGCCCGCCUCUCGCUCCA